GAUGAACGCUGGCGGCGUGCCUAACACAUGCAAGUCGAGCGAACGGACGAGACGCUUGCUUCUUUCACGUUAGCGGCGCGCGUGUGUGUAACAUGUGUAUAAUCUACCUAUAUGACUGGUAAAACUUCGGGAAACCGGAGCUUACCCCGGAUAAUCUUCUGAAGCGCAUUGUGCAUAGGAAAAAGUCGGCCUUUCUGUCACUUCUCGAGGCUUCUCGGCUGCAUUAGCUAGUUGGUAAGGUAACGGCUUACCAAGGCAACGAUGCGUAGCCGCCCUGAGAGGGUGAGCGGCCACACUGGAACUGCGACACGGUCCAGACUCCUACGGGAGGCAGCAGUAGGGAAUCUUGCGCAAUGGGCGAAAGCCUGACGAAGCAACGCCGAGUGAGUGAUGAAGGUCUUCGGAUCGUAAAUCACUGUUAUUGGGGAGGAACAUAUUUGUGAGUAUCUCUGAGCAUCUUGACGGUACCUGAUCAAAAAGCCACGGCUAACUUCGUG
rnacentral:rRNA from 1 species